AUUCUAAACCAAGGAAAACAGCUUCAUCUUUGGGUCACCUCAGUUCUUUUUCCUGGUGAGCAGCUGCUUAAACCAAUAGGCUGACAUUUUUGGGUAUCUCUUGAGGUUGGUAUAGUCGACAUAGACAAUUCCAAACCGUGAUGUGUAUCCCGACCUCCACUCGAAGUUGUCGAGCAAAGACCAUGCGAAGUAGCCCACUAAAUUGGCUCCAUCAUCAACAGCCUUCUUCAGUUGGGUUAAGUAGCCCUUGUAGAAGUUGAUCCUCGUGGUGUCAUGCAGUCCUUGAGAAAGCGUGACGUUGCCCGGAUCAUCCAUGCCUAAAGUUAUAACAUAAAUGGCUGAAUCGUUAGAAACGCCUCAAUUACUUGGUAGAAGACGAUUCAGGACUUAUUGCACAGAUAUGUACCAUUUUCGGAUAGAAUCAUGGUGGGGUUGCCAUAACGCUCCUUGAUGUACAUCACAGCUUUGUACAAUCCCCAGGGUACAUUAUAAAGCCAGUAAGAAUGUGCCUGCAGCGAUUUCAACGUGAAGUUGGUCGCAUGUAAUUCACAUAGAUUAAUGAUUAAAACAAAGAUCAGGACCAUAGCCUAAACUGAGUGAAUGUACUUCUUACCCUUGGACCAAUAGGCACUCCAAGUUUUGCAUCUGCAAAAAUCUCAAGAAGAUAUUCUCUCAAUACAUGAUCAAGCACAGUACAGUAUAGUGUACACUCUAUCUGACUAUAAUGAAAGAAUGAAGAAUGAAGUAUCUUACAGGCAAAUCCGGCAUUCCAGUCCUGCUGAUACCCUGGGACUUUAGCUUUCGGCUGAUGUGGGUCAUACAUGUAGAAAGCUGUGUAUUGGUUAAUGCCGACAAAAUCCAUUGAGCCCUUCACCAUCUUAACCUCUUCUUUGGUGAAUUUCGGCAGCCUGUCCCCGACAAUUUCUUGCAUCGUCCUCGGGUACUCUCCAUACACAAUUGGAUGAAUAAACCUACAUUAGGACGAUGUGACUUUAAGUUCUCAAUCUAUGACUUACACAGGUCGCCGUGAUUGGGAAUGCUUCCAAAAUCAUGUAAAGCUCAAGUUCUCAAUGCAAAUUGAAAUGUGCAGAGACCAAAUUGGAAAUCAAGUUUAAGCAACAUUGAUUGGCAGUAGUUCGGCUAGAUCUUGUAAGAUGUAAGUAGCAUUAUUACCAUCCAACGUGAAAGUCUCUUGCUCUUUGAGCUGCAUAAUUGUCGGCCUUCGAUCUAGUAAGAGGCUCGUACCAAACAAAAUCCAAAAGAAUACCAAUCCUUCCCUUUUGCUUCUCCUGAAAAUGUGCACACAUUCACCAUUCACGGACAAAGUAGAGCUCAAAUAGAAACAGAUGAACACUACUCCUUGGGCGAUAAUAGUUGCAUACCAGAAAGAACAUAUAAAAAAUCGCAUUCAUACUUGAUACUUUUCUCGGUAUCUCUGAACCGCUGCAGCAUGAGACAGGAUCAAAUGAUGGGCCACAAUGUAAGGCUCGGUUCCUGAGUUUCCUGCUGUGCAGUUCCCAUAGGCUUUCGAGCACCUCGCGGGGGCGAAGAGCCCAUUAUCGUAUCCAAGAGCAGCCACCACUCUCGGCUCAUUGAAAGUCAUCCAGUUCUUAACUCUAUCGCCAAAUGUCUUGAAGCAAAAAUCUGCAUAAUCGGCAAAAUCUUUCCUGCAUGGUCAUUGUAGCCCCAAUCAAAUUCCAAUGUAGCCAAACAUCAUUUGUCGAUCAAGUUAAAUAAGGCACACCUGAUGAUACUCACACUACAUUGGGACUCAAAAGUCCCUUGUACUUCUUCUCUAAAGCCUCUGGAAGAUCAUAGUGAUACAGAUUAGCGUAGGGUGUGAUGCCUGCAAAUAGAUAUUGCAUAACAUAACAUGAUUGUCUUAGUAAAAGAUAUUGUGAAAUCGAAACAUGUUUUGGAACUCUUUUUCCGAUUCAUUUAUCCAUCUACCUUUCCUAAGCAAGUAGUUGAUCAACCUGUUGUAGUAAGCAACUCCCUUCCAAUUCACCUUCCCAGUUCCAUCUGCAUUAUAUCAAAAGUCAAGUGUUACAUUAACUACUUGUUUGGCCGGGUCAGCUCCAAAGCAAGAGGAACAAAAGAUUUUGUUAUUACCAGGGAAAAUCCUCGACCAUGAAAUUGAGAAGCGGUAGGCAUCAAAAUUGAGCUUCGCCAUUAGAUCCACAUCUUCCUGUAACAGCACGACAGGAUUGAUUAGUGCCCGGAAACAUAUUGGAUACACUGCUAAGUGGAACCAAGACAUAACUAUGGCGGGUUCAUAUUUCUUUAUGCACAAUAUCAAGCAGGUUGAACUACACUAGGAAAGAGCUUUGAUUAUUAAGAUAUCACAUUUGAGAAUCCGUUUCUCUCAGAAAAUUGUCAAGAAGCAGGUCCAUAAAGCGAAUAUAUGAAUGGACCGUACAUAAGAAGUAUAAUAAAUUGUCAAAUAUGAUAUAAAUUAAACAAAGCUUAGAAAUAUUAGGACACCAUAUAUGCGUCUGAACCAAAAUCUUUUGUUUUAGCCCUCAAGAGAUCCAAUGUAAAUAAUAGAUUCCCUCUGUCUUUCUUUCACAGACCACACUAUCUUUGAAAAGGGAUCUUUUUGUCCCAUCUAUGAAUGCAUCGAGAGAUCUCACGGACCGUUAAGAACUUUACAAACAGACGGCGACAAGGAAAGAAACACCCACUUUGUACCGAUGAUACUGGUCCACCGAGACCUCCCCAGUUGCAUUACCGGCCACAAUUCCUGUACACAUCACAUGACCAGGACACUUUUAACACCAUUAUCAACGACAAGCAUCAACAGCGAAAAGAGAAACCCAGGAAACUGUGAUGUGCAUCAUGUUCUCUGCUACCGUGCGCAGGUUUCGAACUCGUGACCUCGCACUGGAAAAGAGUAGCCCGUAUCAUUAGGCCGCUACCCAGUGGUGUGUAGUAUCUCAUUUAUUACCUCAAGGUUCAAUGGCAUUUGGGGUGAAACUACAUUACUUCAACCGUCAUCAUCGCUUGAUAAAAGAAGAUAUGAAUUUGAGAAGCAUUGAUGGAUGCAAAUGACGGAAGAAGUACCUGGAAUCUUGACGAAGACGUCCCAGAUGCUAGGCCCGCGUCCUUCUUUGUCGGCCAUGCCUUCGACUUGAUAAGCCGAGGUCGCCGUUCCCCAGACGAAGCCCUUCGGGAAGGCUGAUCUGCUCAGCCCACCGGUGUCGAAACGCGUUGUCUCGGGUAUCACUGUCUCUUCAGCCAUCGUCGACCUCGCCACGAGGCCUGACAGUGACCACAGCAACAGCAUCAACGGCACUCGAAUUCUCAUCCUAACACUUCAACACUCUCAAGAGGGAGGGAGAGAGGGAGUUUAGCUUUGCCUUGUGAAGGAGAGCGACUGUUUAUUUAUGGAGCAAGGAGGAUGAAAGAAAUCUUGAAAGAAAGAAAACAGAACGAAAAUCUUAAACUAUGAUUUUCCUCCUUUUGGUAAGUAAUGCAGGCCCCUCAUGGACGGGAAUCCAGAAUGGCGGGUCCACAUCUCAAGGUCACAAUUGAUCAGUACAUUGAACUAUCCAUAUGAUUGGGAGCCCUGACAGCCCAGUUGAUGACUUGUUAAUUUAUUUUUUCCAAAACCUUUCCUUUGUUUUUUUCUCACCGCAAGGUAAAUAAAAUGAGAUAAGGUUGACUUAUUAAUCUAUCCUCUUGAGGAGAGGUUUGGUUUCAAACCUGGUUUGAACAGGAGAAGUAUGCUAUGCUAAUAUGCCUUGGAUGAUCCAAUGUAGAUCCAACUAAGGUUUGUUCUGGACUAUCAACGUCGGACAUGGGGAGCCAUCAAAGACGAGAACGUUUAUGUUUUUGAGGUUUAGGUUGCACAUAAACUGAUGAGCAUGUAAGAGGAAUUAGCAAAGUGAGAACACCUUAUCCGUGACUCAUAAUGCUUUGCUCGUGCUUUACUUGAUUCGUACUGUUAUGAACAUAUUUCAUGGACUAGAAAUUUAUGUACCUAAUGUUGUUAUGGAAAGACGGAUAUUAGAAAAGGACGAUAGGAUGUGGGUUGUAACAAUCAAAGUUGAGAAAUUGAUUAGAGUUUUGAGAGGAAUUUCAAAUUAGGAAUUAGAUGUUGUCCGUUGGAAUCUCAUUAACUAAGUGCACAUUGCUCCAAGUUAGCGUUAGCUACAUAGGUCAAGAGCCUAAAUAACUGACUCAUGGAACGUGUGAGCUAUUCCAUAAGUCUCCAAGUAGCUGGUAGUGGCUGUUAUGAUUGAUUGUUGAACUACCUUAUCAGCACAUCUAAUGUAUUUCGUGAGGGUUCAAUGAGGUAUCUUCAAUCUUUUUCCAUUUUCUCUUUGACAAAAGACCGACCUAGCAUAUGGGAACUUGGCAUAAGCAAAAGACAAAAGAGAAAGUCUAAAUGAAAUGACAUUGAUUUAUAAGAUUAUUACAUGAAUUCAAUACUAUAUUAUAAGUGAAAGACUGACAAGAAACAGGUCUUUUGCCUUGAGGAGAGGACACGUCGUGCGAUCAUGGGAAGAUAAUGUGUUUGUCCCUGCCACUGAAUACGGCCCGCUUCCUAAUUAUUCACUUAUAUACUCAUGAAUCCUUUAGCAGAAUAGAUCAGAGCCAUUACCGAUAGAUCAAAAUUAAUCUAGAAGCCAGAAUUGUCUGGAUAAAGGAAUGAAAUUGCUACUGAUUUUCAGUUAACUUCAUAAUUUUGAUCAUGUUAAAAGUAUACUGCUCUUGAUUCCUUUUCAACUGUAAGCAUGUCCAAGCGGAUCAUCAGAAUCACGAGUAGCCUUCAUGAGUUUGAAACUAUCCCACAAGUACUCUGCCCAAUGGCAUCACUCGGUGAGUGUUAACUUGGUGAUGGACUGAUAAGUAAAUGCAAGUCAUUUGCUCAUCCUGAUUACUUGGUAACCUGUGCGUUGAAAAGUAGAGUCAACUCUUGAACUGGUGCACAUUUACAUCAAGAGUUGGCUGUUCAUCUCUUUUCUUCUGAUAUGAUUUUCAGGUACUUUUUGCCAUUUUGAGAAUCUAGAGAAGGCAGAUGAUGUUUCUGUGAGCACAAUUUUAAAGAUUCCAAGGCCUCUUGCAAUUAGCUUUUACUAGACAGCAUGAAUGAAAACUGAACAUGGCAUUUGGCAUGCGUGCAACAAAUUUGAGCUGCUUACGAUAGCCACCCAGAAGAUUUGCCUCUGCAUUUCCUUGGGCUAUAGCAUAAUGUUCAAGGAAAUCGACCGUUCUUGUGCAGUGCAAUAGCAGGAUCCUUCGAUCAAAUUUUGUAUUUGGUCUUUCCUUGGUUAGGAAUUCUAUAGGACAUUUGUAGUGUUCCUACUUUUCCAAAUUUAUGUUUAUCAGCAGAGUAACUAGAGUGACUCUACAAGCGAUUCUCGAGUAACUAGAGUGACUCUACAAGCGAUUCUCGACUCAUAACCUCGCAAAUUACAGCAUUGUCAUGCAACACCAUUUCUUUUAUUACAUUGACCCGCCUUAAGGUCAAAUUCGUCAGCACCCUCUUUUUACCAAAAGAAGGCAAAACAUAGAACCUGAGAACGAAGAAAACAGCAGAACCUCACCAUUCAUGAUGACAGGCACUUCAUGAUUGACAUCAAUUAUUCUUUUCUGAAUUCUAAACCAAGGAAAAAAACUUCAUCUUUGGGUCACCUCAGUUCUUUUUCCUGGUGAGCAGCUGCUUAAACCAAUAGGCCGACAUUUUCGGGUAUCUCUUGAGGUUGGUAUAGUCGACAUAGACAAUUCCAAACCGUGAUGUGUAUCCCAACCUCCACUCGAAGUUGUCGAGCAAAGACCAUGCGAAGUAGCCCACUAAAUUGGCUCCAUCAUCAACAGCCUUCUUUAGUUGGGUUAAGUAGCCCUUGU
rnacentral:lncRNA from 1 species